rnacentral:rRNA from 1 species
AAAAAUCAACCUAAAUUAACAAAAUCUAUCUUUGAUUAAAGUAGCCCGGGACACGUGAAAUCCUGUGUGAAUAAACGAGGACCACCUCGUAAGACUAAAUACUCCUGAAUGACCGAUAGUGGAUUAGUACCGUGAGGGAAAGGUGAAAAGACUCAAAAUAGAGUAGUGAAAAAGAACAUGAAACCGUCAGCUGACAAUCUGUGGGAGCUAAACAAUGCAAAUCCGAUUUUGGACAGCAGAAAGCUUCAUUGUCAAAAGGGAAACAGCCCACAUCACCAGCUAAGGCCCCAAAGUGAUAGCUAAGUGGCAAAGGAAGUGAAGAGGCAAAGACAAUUAGAAAGUUCGCUUAGAGGAAGCAAUCUUUAAAAGAGUGCGUAAUAGCUCACUGAUAGAGCCUUUUUGCGCCGAAAAUGAACGGGACUAAGUUAUCCGCCGAAGCUGUGGGUUACUUUUAUUUUAAUAAAAGUUGCGGUAGAGGAGCGUUUUGCUCAGGGUGAAGCGGAGACGUGAGUUUGAUCCGUGGACAAAGCAAAAGUGAGAAUGUUGGCUUGAGUAACGAAAAUAUAGGCGAGAAUCCUAUACCCCGAAAACCUAAGGGUUCCACUCGGAAGGCUCGUCCACGGUGGGUUAGUCAAGUCCUAAGAUCAGGCCGAAUGGCGUAGUCGAUGGUAAGCAGGUUAAUACUCCUGCACUUAUAUUCUUUUAACUAUACAGAGGGACAAAGUAGAUAUAACUAGAAUACUGACGAAGAAAAACGUUGGUUAGUGAAAACCUAUUUUCAAGAAAAGCUCUAACUAUGGACGUGUUAUUAGGUUUGCGCCGAAAGCACAUUAAAAGAUAUAACUUGUACCCUAAACCGACACAGGUAGGUAGGUAGAGCAUACUAAGGGGCGCGAGAUAACUCUCUCUAAGGAACUCGGCAAAAUGGCCCCGUAACUUCGGAAGAAGGGGUGAUAGUGUGGAGAUAAUAUCAAAGUGCUAUUCGCAGUGACCAGGCUCCGGCGACUGUUUAUCAAAAACACAGGUCUACGCAAAGUCGAAAGACAACGUAUGUGGGCUGACGCCUGCCCAGUGCCAGAAGGUUAAAGAAGUCGGUUAUUUUUCUUCGGAACGAGAAGCUGACGACUGAAGCCCUGGUGAACGGCGGCUGUAACUCUGACAGUUAAUCAAAGUGAUUAUAUACUUUAGGGCUGUCAUUAAAAAUGACUUUAUGCUGAAAUUUCCAUUUUAGGAAUAAUCAGCAGGAAAUUAAUAAAUUGUAAUUAUUUAAUACAAAAAAUUAAUUCUUCAGAGACUAAAUGCCAUUUAUUAAUUAUGUUUUUAUUUUGUUAAAACAAAGUUAAUAAAGUUAUAGUCCAAAUUACGAUGAAAGUUGUAAUAAUUAAAUAGAAAUUAAAAAUUUUUAUUUAAUAAUAUUUAUGCCUAAGGUAUCGAAAUUCCUUGUCAGGUAAGUUCUGACCCGCAAGAAUGGCGUAACGAUCGGAGCACUGUCUCGGAGAGAGACUCGGUGAAAUAGAAAUGUCUGUGAAGAUACGGACUACUUGUACCAGGACAGAAAGACCCUAUGAAGCUUGACUGGAACUUGAUAUUGGGUUCCGAUUUCUUUCGCGCAGUAUAGGUGGGAGGCGGCGAUAGGGCAUUUUCGGAUGUUCAGGAGCCAACAGUGAGAUACCACUCUUAAGAAAUUAGAAUUCUAAUAAGACUCCUUGAAUCAGGAUCUUAAACAGUGUCAAGUGGCUAGUUUGACUGGGGCGGUGACCUCCCAAAAGGUAACGGAGGUGUACAAAGGUUCCUUCAAGCUGGACGGAAAUCAGCUGUAGAGCGCAAAGGCAUAAGGGAGCUUGAUUGUGAGACCAACAAGUCAAACAAGGGCGAAAGCCGGUCUUAGUGAUCCGACGGUACCGUGUGGAAGGGCCGUCGCUCAACGGAUAAAAGUUACUCUAGGGAUAACAGGCUAAUCUCCCCCAAGAGUUCAUAUCGACGGGGAGGUUUGGCACCUCGAUGUCGGUUCAUCGCAACCUGGGGCUGUAGUAGGUCCCAAGGGUUGGGCUGUUCGCCCAUGAAAGCGGUACGUGAGCUGGGUUCAGAACGUCGUAAGACAGUUUGGUCCAUAUCCGGUAUAAGCGUAAAAGCAUUGAGAGGAUAUUAACAUUGUACGAGAGGACCAGAAAAUUCGUAUCACUAGUGUAACAGUUCUUUCAUAGGGAUAGCUGUGUAGCCAUAUACGGAAUGGAUAAUCGCUGAAAGCAUUUAAGUGAGAAGCCUACCUCAAGAUGAGUGCUUUGUCGCUACGGCAAGACAAGCCGGUAAUUGGUAUCAGGUAGAAGAUUAGCAAUAAUUGAAGCCGAGAUAUUCAAAAAGCGAAUAUAUUUG